rnacentral:rRNA from 1 species
UUUGUCCGGAAAGAAAACCUCCGCCCUAAUAUGGUGGGGGGAUGACGGUACCGGAAGAAUAAGCACCGGCUAACUACGUGCCAGCAGCCGCGGUAAUACGUAGGGUGCAAGCGUUAAUCGGAAUUACUGGGCGUAAAGCGUGCGCAGGCGGUCCGCUAAGACAGAUGUGAAAUCCCCGGGCUUAACCUGGGAACUGCAUUUGUGACUGGCGGGCUAGAGUAUGGCAGAGGGGGGUAGAAUUCCACGUGUAGCAGUGAAAUGCGUAGAGAUGUGGAGGAAUACCGAUGGCGAAGGCAGCCCCCUGGGCCAAUACUGACGCUCAUGCACGAAAGCGUGGGGAGCAAACAGGAUUAGAUACCCUGGUAGUCCACGCCCUAAACGAUGUCAACUAGUUGUCGGGUCUUCAUUGACUUGGUAACGUAGCUAACGCGUGAAGUUGACCGCCUGGGGAGUACGGUCGCAAGAUUAAAACUCAAAGGAAUUGACGGGGACCCGCACAAGCGGUGGAUGAUGUGGAUUAAUUCGAUGCAACGCGAAAAACCUUACCUACCCUUGACAUGUAUG